rnacentral:rRNA from 1 species
GAUGAACGCUGGCGGCGUGCUUAACACAUGCAAGUCGAACGGGAAACAUUUCAUUGAGGCUUCGGCGGAUUUGGUCUGUUUCUAGUGGCGGACGGGUGAGUAACGCGGGGGUAACCUGCCUUAUACUGGGGGAUAACAGCCAGAAAUGACUGCUAAUACCGCAUAAGCGCACGGGGACGCAUGGCCCUGUGUGAAAAACUCCGGUGGUAUAAGAUGGACCCGCGUUGGAUUAGCUAGUUGGCAGGGCAGCGGCCUACCAAGGCGACGAUCCAUAGCCGGCCUGAGAGGGUGAACGGCCACAUUGGGACUGAGACACGGCCCAGACUCCUACGGGAGGCAGCAGUGGGGAAUAUUGCACAAUGGGGGAAACCCUGAUGCAGCGACGCCGCGUGAAGGAAGAAGUAUCUCGGUAUGUAAACUUCUAUCAGCAGGGAAGAUAAUGACGGUACCUGACUAAGAAGCCCCGGCUAACUACGUGCCAGCCGCCGCAGUAA